UCCUAUAUAAGCUCAGAGCAAGACCCCAUUUGCAAGCUGACAUGGUCCAUGCUCUGAGGGUCUCUGAAAAACUGAUUGCUGUUUGGUUGAAGUUGAAAGUCUCUGCCUUUUGAAGACAGUUUUUAUUUUUCAUAUAUCCUACACUACACUUCCAUAUACUGGAAGAUCUUUUUUUUUAAAUCUAUCUUGCAUUCAUUCAAAUCCAACAACAGAAUGACCAGGACUGUUCCUAAUUACUCUACAUUGCUAGGCAGAUGCAGAGCCUGAUCUAAGGAAGCAAUUGUCCGAAUUCAGUUCUUCAAUUUAGGAACUCAAGAGUGGAUGCCGGCAAGGAGGACAAAAGCCAGCCCUGCAGGUAUCCGCUUGAGCUCACUAGGUGUCUGGCCAGUAGGGUCCUCUGUGUAACGAUGAGGAGAAACUGAUGGUUUUUCCUCCCUGAACCAUGGGGUUGCAGAGCCAAUGCAACGCUCCCUCUGGACUCCCCAGCAAAGACCAGUGACUGUACAUCCAGGAUGUGAACCUGCUCUCUUCUGACUGUAUGACUAACCCUGCACUCCACACAGCCGUGUUAUUACCAGAUGAGCCAAUCUGGGCCCCCUGACAGUUAAAGCCUGGGGCACUUGAGCAAAACAUUUAACAAUAAACAUUAAAACACAAUAUACGAGUUAAAAUAAUUUGAAAAAAAAUUGUGGUAAUUUGUAUGUCAGAACAUUUCAAUACUGCACACCACCUUACUUAAAUGUAACAUUUAUAAUCUUGUAACCCACAAAAUGACAUGUUGUUAAAAUAAGCAUGAUAUUAACAGGAAUAGUAUUCAUAUUUGACUGUACUUCAAAUGAAUGUACUUGAAACCAUUACGUAGCACUAUUUUUUUAAAUUACCAUCAUAUUUAUGGGGAAACAUGGGCAUUGAUGAAUUUGUGUUUUGAAUUCAGGUCAUGUAGCAGAGAGCCUGAGUGAGACACUCUAUAAAAUCUAAUAUAGGUUGUUUCCAGCAUCACUGUGCUAGAGAUUAAGGAAGCCUUCUCCACUAAAGCCAAACUGAAGCUUACACAAUAAUUUCAUCUGGCAGCAUGUAAAUUGUGUUGCACCUGAUACACUUGCACAUCUUUAAACAGCAGGCUUACAGGCUUCACUUCCACUGGAAUCAACUGUUGCCUGUAAGUUCUAGAAUGUUGAUUUCCACACCUGCUGUGGUAGUGUAGCAGGGUUUCUUGAUAAUGAUUGUAAUCUGUUUUCUCCUAGGUGAACAGGCUUCUUUCAAAUGUUCUGUUGUAAGCUGCUAAGGACCCUUCCUGUUGAAUACAAUGCAUUUUUAGCUGCUUUUAUUUAUUUAUUUAACUGCCUUUCUCUUAUUAAAACUGUGUAGAUUUUAUUGGUUAUUUGAACCGACUUUUAUGUAACUUUGAGACUAUUGUAAUAAAACUUUUUGGACUUUUAUUCUGGCUUUGCCACUCUGUUGCUAUCUCUGGUCACUUUACCUUUAUUCAACAAAUUAUUUGGUUUUGUUCGUAGAUUGAGCAUUUACAAAUGUAGUUUGGUAGUGCCCCUAGUAUCGGUGUUGUGACCCCUUGGUGAGUGCUCCUGGAUGGCUGCAACAGUAGUACAGUGCUAAUAAGCAUUAGAUGAAGGGACAACACUUUUUUAAAAUCCAAAAUCAAGCAGUUAAUGUUACAAACCAAACAACCAACCACAACGAUUAAAUAAAAAAGGUGCCUAAAUUGUUUCUUACUAGUUUUUUGUAAUAACUGAUUACACCUUGAUCUUGAGAAAAUGUAAAGAGAUCAGGGAUGUGGGGAUUGCUGCAGUGAGGGAUUGUAAUUGGGGAGAAAACCAUAGGAAAAAAAAUUAGACAUGUCAUUUUUUUUUCUUGAAUCAUUGAUUGACUAUACACUAUUUAAAACAACAAGAAUUGUAUUGGGAAAUAUUACUUUUGAUAGAUUGAACAAGGGAGGAUUGAGAAAGAUUGAGAAAGAGUAAGAUUUUAAUAAACAUUUGAUUUCUUUUAGUAACUAAUGAUAUUGUAAACAUUUCAUUAACAGCCUGUGAUUGCAGAAGGCUUGUGGUAUGAGGAGAUUGGCAGGGAGAUGGAUAAAUCAAUGACUAAUGACUCUGUGAUGUCAAACAGUUAUUGGACCAUUUCCAUCACAACCUUGUAUUGUAUAUGUUAAAAAAAGACAAGCAGGGUCUGUAUAUUGUUAAAGAGGAUGUUUAGAUCUAAAAAUAGACAUAUCACAAAAAUAUAAUUGAAAUAAGCACCAUGGCUUGAAAGUAAAGGUUUCAUUCCAGCCCAUGCAAUGCUGCCUGACUGUUCAGACACUUUUCCACCUCAUUACUAUUUGUAAUGAAUACUGUCAUUAAAGAAAGCAGACAAGUGAAAACUGAGUUAAAGGGGUGUGUUAUAUAAUCUAUUGAAUGUGUUCUGUAUGAUUCUGUACAAUCUAACUAUUCCAGUAAAAAAUGCUUUUGAAAAGCCUCCUUAGUGUUGACUGUGGGGAAGCAUAUUAGUGUUACGCUGUGCACUGAAGCCCAUAGAUGAAGUGAAGCAUGUGCAACACUGAUAUGCUUCCCCGCCUCACUACCUGAAUAGUUCUGUUCUUGGCUAGUUGCUCGUCAGUACCCUACUGAAUCGCGGUCAUUCUCUGUAGGAAUACAUGUUAGGUACUUUUCAUCUCGAUUCAGCUGUAUAUCUGAAUUCUUUCUGUUGACAAUGCCCCUCAAUUCACUCCAAUUGUUUAAAAGAAUUGAAAAAAAACUUAAUUUUACAAAACUAGAAUGAAGCAUCCAGGUAAUAUAAAUCACAGCAUCUUAUUCUUUCCAAGGUUGUUUUUCAGGUAUGUAACAUUAACAUGUUCUCUUGUCUAAAAAUAGAAGUUAUUAAAUAGUGGAGUAAAUGCUUGCAUGCACUAGUUGAUGCCGAAUGCUGAG